AGUGAACGCUGGCGGUAGGCCUAACACAUGCAAGUCGAACGGCAGCACAGUAAGCGCUUGCCCUUACGGGUGGCGAGUGGCGGACGGGUGAGGCAUACAUCGGCAUCCACUAUUUCGUGGGGGAUAACGUAGGGCAACUUAUGCUAAUACCGCAUAUGAUCUACGGGAGAAAGCAGGGGAUCUUCGCACCUUGCGUGUCUCAUUGAGCCGAUGUCGGAUUAGCUAGUUGGCGGGGUAAAGGCCCACCAAGGCGACGAUCCGUAGCUGAUCUGAGAGGAUGAUCGGCCACACUGGAACUGAGACACGGUCCAGACUCCUACGGGAGGCAGCAGUAGGGAAUAUUGGGCAAUGGGCGCAAGCCUGAUCCAGCCAUACCGCGUGAGUGAAGAAGGCCUUCGGGUUGUAAAACCCUUUUGUUGGGAAAGAAAAGCAGCAGGUUAAUACCCCGCUGUUCUGACGGUACCCAAAGAAUAAGCACCGGCUAACUUCGUG
rnacentral:rRNA from 1 species